CGAACAACCCAGGAGACUGAAGCCCUUACAUUUUCUCUCACACUGGCCCCUCACUGUACCUGAGCCCUGACCUAGCAGGGCCACUCUAGGGGCAAGAGGGUCAUUCAUUCUCUGUGCUCACUGAUGGCCUCU
rnacentral:sRNA from 1 species